UUUAAUUCUAUUAUAAUAAAUAUAUUAACUCAUAAUUUUAAUAUAAUAUUCUAUUAAACCAUUAAAGCAAACAAUUUAAUAUUUAUAUUAAACUAACACACCAACAUUUUAACAUAUUAUAAUAUUAUAAAUUAUCAUGGUUAUAAUAACCAUAAUCUUUUUGUUGUAUACAUAUUCUACCUUCUCCCCUGCAAUAUUUAUAUACAUAUAUAAUUAUAUUAUAUUAAUAUAACAUAUUAUUAUACUUCUCCCUGUUACACCUAAUAUUUAAACACAUCCCAUGUUUCCAUCUUUUCACUUUUCUUUUCCUAAGUGGACUCACCCUCACUUCUCCUAUUCAUUCUUCCAUUACACCCAAAACCAUACCUAUGCUCACAUAACCACCACAUUCCAAAACCACUUCUUUUGAUCUUAUCUUUUUGCUUCUUCUCACCAAACCCGUAGCCUCACUUCCCUUCCAUACAGUAACUUUGCUCCUUCCUCCAUCAACAGUGAAUACCCAUUUACCUCUCCUUGAAACUCAGUUCCCAUACCCAUAUUUUAGGAACCCACCAACACUCAACACCUUUUUCUUUUCUUGUCUUACAAAUACCCAUCUACAACUAUCCACGCAUGCAAGAACCUUUUCUCUUUUUCUCAUUCAAUAACACCCACC
rnacentral:lncRNA from 1 species